AUUCAGCUGACGAGUCACAAAUAAGACGAAACACGCGUCCUGGAU
rnacentral:hammerhead_ribozyme from 1 species